rfam:Gossypium hirsutum cultivar TM-1 chromosome 19, whole genome shotgun sequence
CAGGAAGCAAAGGAGCUCCACUCAGUUCAAUACAGGGGGCAGAGAUGGCUGAAAGAGCUGCCAUCUCAUGCAUUCGGUUACGCUUAACCUUUCUAUUCUAUUAUAUAUAUUGGCUGACUAGCUGGAAAUGACGAAUAUUUACGAAGGGUUAAGUUUGGCCCGAUGCAUGGCAUGGGAGCACCACCUCCUUCCUCAUACUUUGCCCGCCCAUUGGACUGAAGGGAGCUCCUGUUUUCAUCACA